rnacentral:rRNA from 1 species
AGAGUUUGAUCCUGGCUCAGGAUGAACGCUAGCGGGAGGCCUAACACAUGCAAGCCGAGCGGUAUUUAUUCUUCGGAAUAGAGAGAGCGGCGUACGGGUGCGUAACACGUGUGCAACCUGCCUUUAUCUGGGAGAUAGCCCUCCGAAAGGGGGAUUAAUAUUCCAUAAUAUCUCGUUGGGCAUCCAACGAGAUUGAAAGCUCCGGCGGAUAGAGAUGGGCACGCGCAAGAUUAGAUAGUUGGUGAGGUAACGGCUCACCAAGUCUGCGAUCUUUAGGGGGCCUGAGAGGGUGAUCCCCCACACUGGUACUGAGACACGGACCAGACUCCUACGGGAGGCAGCAGUGAGGAAUAUUGGACAAUGGGUGCAAGCCUGAUCCAGCCAUCCCGCGUGAAGGAUUAAGGUCCUAUGGAUUGUAAACUUCUUUUAUACAGGGAUAAACCUCUCCUCGUGAGGAGAGCUGAAGGUACUGUAUGAAUAAGCACCGGCUAACUCCGUGCCAGCAGCCGCGGUAAUACGGAGGGUGCAAGCGUUAUCCGGAUUUAUUGGGUUUAAAGGGUCCGUAGGCGGGCCGAUAAGUCAGUGGUGAAAUCUCGCAGCUUAACUGUGAAACUGCCAUUGAUACUGUUGGUCUUGAGUAAAUUUGAAGUGGCUGGAAUAAGUAGUGUAGCGGUGAAAUGCAUAGAUAUUACUUAGAACACCAAUUGCGAAGGCAGGUCACUAAGAUUUAACUGACGCUGAUGGACGAAAGCGUGGGGAGCAAACAGGAUUANAUACCCUUGGUAGUCCACGCUGUAAAACGAUGUCC